rnacentral:rRNA from 1 species
AUACGGAGGAUGCGAGCGUUAUCCGGAUUUAUUGGGUUUAAAGGGUGCGUAGGCUGUGCGUUAAGUCAGGGGUGAAAUGCCGUCGCUCAACGACGGAGCUGCCCUUGAUACUGGCGUGCUGGAGUACGGAUGCCGUUGGAGGAAUGAGUGGUGUAGCGGUGAAAUGCUUAGAUAUAACACAGAACACCGAUUGCGAAGGCAUCUGACGAAUCCGUCACUGUGGCAGAGGCACGAAAGCGUGGGGAUAGAGCAGGAUUAGAUACCCUGGUAUCCCACGCCGUAAACGAUGAUGACUAACCGUCGGCGAUAGACAGGCGGUGGCCAAGCGAAAGCGAUAAGUCAUCCACCUGGGGAGUACGUCGGCAACGAUGAAACUCAAAUGAAUUGACGGGG